UUGCAUGCCGGGAGACAAAAAUGUCUCAGGAAGCUUUGAGAGGCGCGAUUUUGGAAGCCGGGCGCUGACGAGCUUCCGCCUUUGGUGUGAUCGCGGACCUAGAAACUCGGUCCGCCCCAUACAGGUGUACGUAGAAGUCGGAUUUGGAGAAUGCGGAAGCGUGUGCCAGUCAAGGUUAGGCUCCAGGUCAUAAAAGUCACUGAGGCUUCCUCCUUGCUCCCCCCUGGAUUGCUUGCUCCGGAGGAAGUCAGCUGCCAUGUCAUGAGGACACUCAAGCAGCCCUGUGGAGAGGUUCAUGUGGCAAGGAACUGAGGCCUCCAAUCAAUAGCCAUGGGAAUGAAAUUUCCCAAAAGCAGAUCCUCUAGCCCAGUCAAGCCUUCAUGUGACUGCAGUCCUGGCCAAUCAUCUUGACUGGAGCCUCAUAAGAGACCCUUAGUCAGAACUACCUGGGUAAGACCCUCCCAAAUUCCUGACACUCAGAAAUUGUGUAAUAAAUACUUGCUAUGUUAAGCUACUAAA